UGAUUCAUAUAACUGAUUCAGUCAUAAUGGCAGCAAACUGAUUCAUAUAACUGAUUCAGUCAUUAUGGCAGCAAACUGAUUCAUAUAACUGAUUCAGUCAUAAUGGCAGCAAACUGAUUCAUAUAACUGAUUCAGUCAUAAUGGCAGCAAACUGAUUCAUAUAACUGAUUCAGUCAUAAUGGCAGCAAACUGAUUCAUAUAACUGAUUCAGUCAUUAUGGCAGCAAACUGAUUCAUAUAACUGAUUCAGUCAUUAUGGCAGCAAACUGAUUCAUAUAACUGAUUCAGUCAUGGUGGCAGCAAACUGAUUCAUAUAACUGAUUCAGUCAUGAUGGCAGCAAACUGAUUCAUAUAACUGAUUCAGUCAUGAUAGCAGCAAACUGAUUCAUAUAACUGAUUCAGUCAUGAUGGCAGCAAACUGAUUCAUAUAACUGAUUCAGUCAUAAUGGCAGCAAACUGAUUCAUAUAACUGAUUCAGUCAUUAUGGCAGCAAACUGAUUCAUAUAACUGAUUAAGUCAUAAUGGCAGCAAACUGAUUCAUAUAACUGAUUCAGUCAUGAUGGCAGCAAACUGAUUCAUAUAACUGAUUCAGUCAUAAUGGCAGCAAACUGAUUCAUAUAACUGAUUCAGUCAUUAUGGCAGCAAACUGAUUCAUAUAACUGAUUAAGUCAUAAUGGCAGCAAACUGAUUCAUAUAACUGAUUCAGUCAUGAUGGCAGCAAACUGAUUCAUAUAACUGAUUCAGUCAUAAUGGCAGCAAACUGAUUCAUAUAACUGAUUCAGUCAUGAUGGCAGCAAACUGAUUCAUAUAACUGAUUCAGUCAUGAUGGCAGCAAACUGAUUCAUAUAACUGAUUCAGUCAUUAUGGCAGCAAACUGAUUCAUAUAACUGAUUCAGUCAUAAUGGCAGCAAACUGAUUCAUAUAACUGAUUCAGUCAUAAUGGCAGCAAACUGAUUCAUAUAACUGAUUCAGUCAUAAUGGCAGCAAACUGAUUCAUAUAACUGAUUCAUAUAACUGAUUCAGUCAUAAUGGCAGCAAACUGAUUCAUAUAACUGAUUCAUAUAACUGAUUCAGUCAUAAUGGCAGCAAACUGAUUCAUAUAACUGAUUCAGUCAUAAUGGCAGCAAACUGAUUCAUAUAACUGAUUCAGUCAUAAUGGCAGCAAACUGAUUCAUAUAACUGAUUCAGUCAUAAUGGCAGCAAACUGAUUCAUAUAACUGAUUCAGUCAUUAUGGCAGCAAACUGAUUCAUAUAACUGAUUCAGUCAUAAUGGCAGCAAACUGAUUCAUAUAACUGAUUCAGUCAUUAUGGCAGCAAACUGAUUCAUAUAACUGAUUCAGUCAUAAUGGCAGCAAACUGAUUCAUAUAACUGAUUCAGUCAUAAUGGCAGCAAACUGAUUCAUAUAACUGAUUCAGUCAUAAUGGCAGCAAACUGAUUCAUAUAACUGAUUCAGUCAUUAUGGCAGCAAACUGAUUCAUAUAACUGAUUCAGUCAUAAUGGCAGCAAACUGAUUCAUAUAACUGAUUCAGUCAUAAUGGCAGCAAACUGAUUCAUAUAACUGAUUCAGUCAUAAUGGCAGCAAACUGAUUCAUAUAACUGAUUCAGUCAUUAUGGCGGCAAACUGAUUCAUAUAACUGAUUCAGUCAUAAUGGCAGCAAACUGAUUCAUAUAACUGAUUCAGUCAUAAUGGCAGCAAACUGAUUCAUAUAACUGAUUCAGUCAUAAUGGCAGCAAACUGAUUCAUAUAACUGAUUCAGUCAUUAUGGCAGCAAACUGAUUCAUAUAACUGAUUCAGUCAUAAUGGCAGCAAACUGAUUCAUAUAACUGAUUCAGUCAUAAUGGCGGCAAACUGAUUCAUAUAACUGAUUCAGUCAUAAUGGCAGCAAACUGAUUCAUAUAACUGAUUCAGUCAUGAUGGCAGCAAACUGAUUCAUAUAACUGAUUCAGUCAUGAUGGCAGCAAACUGAUUCAUAUAACUGAUUCAGUCAUGAUGGCAGCAAACUGAUUCAUAUAACUGAUUCAGUCAUAAUGGCAGCAAACUGAUUCAUAUAACUGAUUCAGUCAUAAUGGCAGCAAACUGAUUCAUAUAACUGAUUCAGUCAUUAUGGCAGCAAACUGAUUCAUAUAACUGAUUCAGUCAUGAUGGCAGCAAACUGAUUCAUAUAACUGAUUCAGUCAUGAUGGCAGCAAACUGAUUCAUAUAACUGAUUCAGUCAUGAUGGCAGCAAACUGAUUCAUAUAACUGAUUCAGUCAUAAUGGCAGCAAACUGAUUCAUAUAACUGAUUCAGUCAUAAUGGCAGCAAACUGAUUCAUAUAACUGAUUCAGUCAUAAUGGCAGCAAACUGAUUCAUAUAACUGAUUCAGUCAUUAUGGCAGCAAACUGAUUCAUAUAACUGAUUCAGUCAUGAUGGCAGCAAACUGAUUCAUAUAACUGAUUCAGUCAUAAUGGCAGCAAACUGAUUCAUAUAACUGAUUCAGUCAUUAUGGCAGCAAACUGAUUCAUAUAACUGAUUAAGUCAUAAUGGCAGCAAACUGAUUCAUAUAACUGAUUCAGUCAUAAUGGCAGCAAACUGAUUCAUAUAACUGAUUCAGUCAUUAUGGCAGCAAACUGAUUCAUAUAACUGAUUAAGUCAUAAUGGCAGCAAACUGAUUCAUAUAACUGAUUCAGUCAUUAUGGCAGCAAACUGAUUCAUAUAACUGAUUAAGUCAUAAUGGCAGCAAACUGAUUCAUAUAACUGAUUCAGUCAUGAUGGCAGCAAACUGAUUCAUAUAACUGAUUCAGUCAUUAUGGCAGCAAACUGAUUCAUAUAACUGAUUAAGUCAUAAUGGCAGCAAACUGAUUCAUAUAACUGAUUCAGUCAUGAUGGCAGCAAACUGAUUCAUAUAACUGAUUCAUAUAACUGAUUCAUAUAACUGAUUCAGUCAUUAUGGCAGCAAACUGAAGCAUAUCAACAUAUCACCUUUCCCACAGUAAAGUAUGAAUUAUCCAUCAUGCAGAAUUUGUACGACCUUUGAUCUUACAAAGGUGGGUUACUGUCAAAUGUAUUAAUUAUAGGCUACUUUCUCUCGUUUCCUAUUUCUAUCGUGUUAAAUAUUAGCCACUCUCCGUAUCUUUCUUCUGUGCAAAAAAACUACGUAAAACGUUUUUUAAAUAGUUUAAAAAAAAAGUUUUUAUGAUUCAUAAAUACUUUCCUAAAUCAGAAUAUUUUUUAAUCGUAACAAAUUGGUACCGCGAAGGAGAUGAAUAUGCAGAUAUACUAUGUCGAUAGUUCUUUCAUUGAGCCCAAAUAUUCUGAGCCUUGAACAUUGAAUGGAAAAAACUCCCAAGAGAAAAUCUUUUGGCCAGAAAGUGGGGUGAAUUUUCAGCUUUUGAAUUAAAUGUAUUCAGCCCUCGGAAGGGAGCCACGCCUCCAAAACACCUGUUACACACCUGCAGUCAGGUAAGACUGAAUACCAACUACUCACAAGUGCAUAGGGAAGGUGUAAUGUCCAAAGUUGGAACGCGGCCCAGAGAGCAGGGUUGGUUGGCCCAACCCUCUCCUUUUGGCCCAACUCUCUCCUUUUGGCCCCACCCUCUCCUUUUGGCCCAACCCUCUCCUUUUGGCCCCACCCUCUCCUUUUGGCCCCACCCUCUCCUUUUGGCCCCACCCUCUCCUUUUGGCCCCACCCUCUCCUUUUGGCCCAACCCUCUCCUUUUGGCCCCACCCUCUCCUUUUGGCCCCACCCUCUCCUUUUGGCCCCACCCUCUCCUUUUGGCCCCACCCUCUCCUUUUGGCCCCACCCUCUCCUUUUGGCCCAAACCUCUCCUUUUGGCCCAACCCUCUCCUUUUGGCCCAACCCUCUCCUUUUGGCCCCACCCUCUCCUUUUGGCCCCACCCUCUCCUUUUGGCCCAACCGAAACAGUGAAGUAAUUAUGGUUCAACUGUAAAAUUGUGUCAACAAUAGCUAUGUUUAGCUAAUCGGGAGAAUUGUUAUUGUGUGUGGGGGGGAUGUCUCGUGGUCGUUGGACGUGAAGAGGAAGUCACUUUAGACUAUUUAGAUGUACCCUCGUGUCUCAUCCGCCAAUCAGGUCAAUCAAUCUGUGCCACUUACCAUGGGCAGAUGUCUCGAAGGUUUGUACCGAUGCUGUUCUUCGGGCCACGUUCCAGGCUGAUUACAUCACAGAAGAUCCAGCAGAAGAAGAAGCCAAGAAGCCAGAGCUAAAUGUGUAAUAGCGUAUCAGCGAAUCAGAUGCCCGACAGGAAACCAUGAUAUGACCAAUGUACGGUAUAUAAAGAUUUUCUAGCAUCAUAAAUUGCAACCGCAGACAGGACAGGUAAAACACGAAUCCCUCAGUUUGCUCCAGUGGGUUGCAGCUGGUGUGACCUCCGCUGUCUUGGGUAAGUAGAUAACUAUAUAAAGACACUCCAACAUGCUGCAUCACCCUUCACCCACAAACACAUGUUCUUUACAGGUACAGGUGCUGUGUACAUUAAUAACUACCCAGUGAAGGUGUACAUUAAAAACUGUCCCAGUGAAGGUGUACAUUAAUAACUGUCCCAGUGAAGGUGUACAUUAAUAACUGUCCCAGUGAAGGUGUACAUUAAUAACUAGCCAGUGAAGGUGUACAUUAAUAACUGUCCCAGUGAAGGUGUACAUUAAUAACUACCCAGUGAAGGUGUACAUUAAUAACUGUCCCAGUGAAGGUGUACAUUAAUAACUGUCCCAGUGAAGGUGUACAUUAAUAACUACCCAGUGAAGGUGUACAUUAAUAACUACCCAGUGAAGGUGUACAUUAAUAACUGUCCCAGUGAAGGUGUACAUUAAUAACUACCCAGUGAAGGUGUACAUUAAUAACUACCCAGUGAAGGUGUACAUUAAUAACUACCCAGUGAAGGUGUACAUUAAUAACUGUCCCAGUGAAGGUGUACAUUAAUAACUGUCCCAGUGAAGGUGUACAUUAAUAACUGUCCCAGUGAAGGUGUACAUUAAUAACUGUCCCAGUGAAGGUGUACAUUAAUAACUACCCAGUGAAGGUGUACAUUAAUAACUGUCCCAGUGAAGGUGUACAUUAAUAACUACCCAGUGAAGGUGUACAUUAAUAACUACCCAGUGAAGGUGUACAUUAAUAACUACCCAGUGAAGGUGUACAUUAAUAACUGUCCCAGUGAAGGUGUACAUUAAUAACUACCCAGUGAAGGUGUACAUUAAUAACUGUCCCAGUGAAGGUGUACAUUAAUAACUACCCAGUGAAGGUGUACAUUAAUAACUACCCAGUGAAGGUGUACAUUAAUAACUACCCAGUGAAGGUGUACAUUAAUAACUGUCCCAGUGAAGGUGUACAUUAAUAACUACCCAGUGAAGGUGUACAUUAAUAACUACCCAGUGAAGGUGUAUAUUAAUAACUACCCAGUGAAGGUGUACAUUAAUAACUACCCAGUGAAGGUGUACAUUAAUAACUGUCCCAGUGAAGGUGUACAUUAAUAACUACCCAGUGAAGGUGUACAUUAAUAACUGUCCCAGUGAAGGUGUACAUUAAUAACUGUCCCAGUGAAGGUGUACAUUAAUAACUACCCAGUGAAGGUGUACAUUAAUAACUACCCAGUGAAGGUGUACAUUAAUAACUGUCCCAGUGAAGGUGUACAUUAAUAACUACCCAGUGAAGGUGUACAUUAAUAACUACCCAGUGAAGGUGUACAUUAAUAACUACCCAGUGAAGGUGUACAUUAAUAACUACCCAGUGAAGGUGUACAUUAAUAACUACCCAGUGAAGGUGUACAUUAAUAACUACCCAGUGAAGGUGUACAUUAAUAACUACCCAGUGAAGGUGUACAUUAAUAACUACCCAGUGAAGGUGUACAUUAAUAACUGUCCCAGUGAAGGAGUACAUUAAUAACUACCCAGUGAAGGUGUACAUUAAUAACUGUCCCAGUGAAGGUGUACAUUAAUAACUACCCAGUGAAGGUGUACAUUAAUAACUACCCAGUGAAGGUGUAUAUUAAUAACUACCCAGUGAAGGUGUACAUUAAUAACUACCCAGUGAAGGUGUACAUUAAUAACUGUCCCAGUGAAGGUGUACAUUAAUAACUACCCAGUGAAGGUGUACAUUAAUAACUGUCCCAGUGAAGGUGUACAUUAAUAACUGUCCCAGUGAAGGUGUACAUUAAUAACUACCCAGUGAAGGUGUACAUUAAUAACUACCCAGUGAAGGUGUACAUUAAUAACUGUCCCAGUGAAGGUGUACAUUAAUAACUACCCAGUGAAGGUGUACAUUAAUAACUACCCAGUGAAGGUGUACAUUAAUAACUACCCAGUGAAGGUGUACAUUAAUAACUGUCCCAGUGAAGGUUCUGUGUACAUUAAUAACUGUCCCAGUGAAGGUGUACAUUAAUAACUGUCCCAGUGAAGGUGUACAUUAAUAACUACCCAGUGAAGGUGUACAUUAAUAACUACCCAGUGAAGGUGUACAUUAAUAACUACCCAGUGAAGGUGUACAUUAAUAACUACCCAGUGAAGGUGUACAUUAAUAACUACCCAGUGAAGGUGUACAUUAAUAACUACCCAGUGAAGGUGUACAUUAAUAACUGUCCCAGUGAAGGAGUACAUUAAUAACUACCCAGUGAAGGUGUACAUUAAUAACUGUCCCAGUGAAGGUGUACAUUAAUAACUACCCAGUGAAGGUGUACAUUAAUAACUACCCAGUGAAGGUGUACAUUAAUAACUACCCAGUGAAGGUGUACAUUAAUAACUACCCAGUGAAGGUGUACAUUAAUAACUGUCCCAGUGAAGGUGUACAUUAAUAACUACUCAGUGUAGGUGUACAUUAAUAACGUCCCUAAAAUCACUUACCAAAAUCACAUUCCAAAUCACUUACCAAAAUCACAUUCUAAAAAUCACUUACCAAAAUCACAUUCUAAAAAUCACUUACCAAAAUCACAUUCUAAAAUCACAUUCCAAAAUCACUUACCAAAAUCACAUUCUAAAAUCACAUUCUAAAAUCACAUUCUAAAAUCACUUACCAAAAUCACAUUCUAAAAUCACAUUCUAAAAUCACUUACCAAAAUCACAUUCUAAAAUCACUUACCAAAAUCACAUUCCAAAAUCACAUUCUAAAAUCACAUUCUAAAAUCACUUACCAAAAUCACAUUCUAAAAUCACUUACCAAAAUCACAUUCUAAAAUCACUUACCAAAAUCACAUUCUAAAAUCACUUACCAAAAUCACAUUCUAAAAUCACAUUCUAAAAUCACUUACCAAAAUCACAUUCUAAAAUCACAUUCUAAAAUCACUUACCAAAAUCACAUUCUAAAAUCACAUUCUAAAAUCACUUACCAAAAUCACAUUCUAAAAUCACAUUCUAAAAUCACAUUCUAAAAUCACUUACCAAAAUCACAUUCUAAAAUCACUUACCAAAAUCACAUUCUAAAAUCACUUACCAAAAUCACAUUCUAAAAUCACUUACCAAAAUCACAUUCUAAAAUCACAUUCUAAAAUCACUUACCAAAAUCACAUUCUAAAAUCACAUUCUAAAAUCACAUUCUAAAAUCACUUGCCCAAAUCACAUUCUAAAAUCACAUUCUAAAAUCACUUACCAAAAUCACAUUCUAAAAUCACAUUCUAAAAUAAAUCACUUACCAAAAUCACAUUCUAAAAUCACAUUCUAAAAUCACAUUCUAAAAUCACUUACCAAAAUCAAAUAAACUGAAAAAAAAUGUGUCGGCGGUAAUAAAAUGGGACAUAAAAACGUUGCUGUAGACUGGAAAACGAAACAACUAAAGUAGGUUAAGAUGAUUUAGAGGGGGGAAUAAGAACCAUCAGAUCAAAUCUGAUUGCCUUGGUCGCGAACACAGAUAUCUGACAUGUGUAUGUUAUUGGGGGUGUAGUGAAAUGCUUGGCCACUAGAUGGAGGCAUAGCUCAAGUAUUGGGCCAUUGACUCUCCUGUUGGCUGAUUCGAGAGAGGGAGAGAGAGAGAGAGAGACCACAAAUACAAAUUCCAUCUAGACACCGUUGCCCUAGAGCACACACAAUACUAUACGUGCCUCGGCCUUAACAUCAGCGCCACACGUAACUUCCACAAAGCUGUGAACGAUCUGAGAGACUCUUCCCUGCCACUUCCACUCUAUUUGCACAUAAUAGGACAUUUCAAAUGUCUGUAUUCUUUUGGAACUGUUGUGAGUGUAAUGUUUACUGUUCAUUUUUGUUUAUUAUCUAGUUCACUUGCUUAGGCAAUGUUAACACAUGUUUCCCAUGCCAAUAAAGCCCCUUGAAUUGAAUUGAACUGAGA